rnacentral:lncRNA from 1 species
UGAUAGUAUAUUUUGGUGGCUGCACCACUUAUGAUCUUCCCGUAGCUGUGGCCAAGACUUUUAGGAGAUGCCAUUGCGCACCCACAGGUACCCAAAUUCUUAAUCCAUUGUUGAUUUUCAUACAAAUUUAGCUUCUCUUAUAUUUAAUAUUUAAUAUCAUGAAAAAGAACCGUUUUGAUUUUGUUUUUAUCUUCUUCUUUAUUUCUCCCUUUUUUUGUCUCUUCAUUUGUUCAAACCUUAUUUUUAUUGGAGGCGAUAGGACCCGCUGAAAUCACACAUCACUUGCUUUACUUUAUUGUUUUUCUAAUUGUUGUAGUGAAUUAGAAAGAUUCUAAUCAGUGAUACAAUACAUUUUUUCUGGUUUAAGCAAUGUUAGUAAUGUUGGUUCAGGAGUUGAUGCCACAUAGGCCUAUACAUAGCAAGGGGGAGAGGAGCCAAGGUGGUAUCAGAGGUUUCAAUUAAAUCACUUUGAGGAAGUCACUUAGUUUAAUUAAUUAAGCUAAGCUUUGCUCUAAAGAGGAACAUAAAGAUAUCUUGUGUAUGGAAGCCCAUUUAGUUCUCAGUACAUGUAACCAUGAACCUGCAAAAUCCACAUUUUUUAAAAGCUACAAAAACCAUAAGGAAUAGAAAGCAAAGAAAUAAGGUAUAUCUAUGCACACACACUUACCUCUAUUUUCUACAUAUUUUAUGGCUUUCGUGUUUAUUUGUAAACUUCACAAGUCUAAUCUCUCUAACAUUGAAAUUUGAAGGUUUAUUAAUUUAACUUUUUUUCUUUAAUCUUAUAGUGUUUUUCCAUUAAUUGCUUCUAAAUAAAGGGAGGAGGAAGGUGAUUUGCUCUAUAACAGAGGCACAAAUAAGCUCUCAAAGACCUUUUUUUUCCCUUUAACUUUCAAGUAAUUUUCUUUCAAACAGAUGACUUAAUUAAUAUUGUCAAUUGAUAUGUAUGCAUCGUGUAUCCUCUAUUAUUAUUAAUAUUGAUGGAAUUUUGACUACGGUCACGUGGUUUUUUACUCUUCAAUUUGGAGAGGUUAAGUUGUUGGUGUUAUGUGUUAGUGUAGAUUCUUUAUUUGUUGCUCAACUCCUACAAGAUAUUUAAACGAGAAAGAGAUAAUCUAAUUCGUAGAAAAUAUGAUUUAGCUUAUGCAAGAGGUCCAUUCCAAUGAAUCAAUAGCAAAUGCAUGCACAACCAUUUCCAAUGAUCAUUAUUUUGAUUCAUUUCAUAGUCAAUGAUUUCUAUAAAGAUAAAACUUGGACGGUUGGUUCAUUUUAAAGUCUGAUCCCAAAAUGUUAAAUAAUUUUUGUGCUGAUGUCAUGGUUGAGUGAAGUUAUGAAUGUUUGAAAUUGUUUAUUGUUGGACUUUCCUUUUGUUCUUUUUUGUUCUUAUUCUUUUUUGUAAUUCUGUCAUUAGAUGGUGUUUUUAGCUUUAACUUCUGUUUUCUUGGUUUGUGAGUUCUAGUUCCAUUCUAAAGGUAGUUUCACGUUGCAACGUUUCAUAUAUUAAUGAAAAGUUUAUUUUUUUUAAUGAGAAAAAAACAACACUUGAAAUUUCAAUUUGAGUCUGUGAUGAACGAGUUAUUUUUCGUUGUAAUGCAGCAUUGAACUUUUUACCUUCUUGGAUGUCAUGGGUCUUUAGCAAAUUGUCAAUCUGGAAGAGCAUUUCUAUCCCAAACUGCCUAAGAUCAGCUAGUUCUUUCAUUUUUGUCAGUUGCAGUUUUUUUUUUUUUGUCGAUUUUGACACUUAAACAAGUUGAAUCUUGCUUUUAAGGCUUCCUCUUUUCUCUCUCACUUUAUUUAAAUGAUAGUAAAUGGUUCAAAUUAGUUUAUUACAACGAUGUUUUGUAUGUAGUUUCAUUUAUAAUGUUAGUAUAUCAAAAAUUUUGAUUAAUUAAUUGCAGUUCAAAAAAAGUGUUAAACAAUUUGCUCAAGAUAACAUUACUCCCAAACGCCACAAAAAUUGAUCAAACCAACUAUGUUCCAAAUGUCAGUUGGAAGUUCUUCUCUAUAUGUUUAAUGGGUUGCUCAUAAUACUUAGUUAUUCAUAUACAAAAUUUAUGAUACCUGUUUUAUAGUGUACUUCAGGAAGCUAAUGAAGCAUUUAAAUAUUUGUGUUUCUUUAGGAAUCUCACAUGUAACUUAAGAAUUGAGUAAUUGGUCAGUUGACUUCCUUACUUGCUGAUGUUGGACUUGACAUGCAAGAAGCUCAUGCUUUCUCCUCUGUUGAUAAUUUCUCUUAAUGUUUCUAUCAUCGAUGGUUGGUCUUAUGAGAUAAGAUAUAAUUUAGGCAUUUAAAAUUUUAUUCUCUAUUUACUUUCUGAUUCAAUAUUUGGAAGUUCACAAGAGCAAUUCAUUCUAACAUCUUUUACUAUUUUGUUUCAAUAUGGUAUAUUGUUCUUCAUAUUUGGGGACCUGUAAAUUUUAUCUAAUUAUGACAUAUAAUUGUUAACUAAUAAAAAAAACUUAUUGCAUUUUUGUUUUUUUCAGUACUGCGGUCUUCCAAAAUAUGGACAGCUUGAUCAUGGAACAGAUAAUGAGGUACUAUACAACUUUUUCUUCUAUUCCUUUCAAUUUGUAUUGAACAAAUGGAGAAUCUUACAAGGGUAUACUUUGUCACGUGGCACAUAGGAUAAUGUUGGACACUUCAUUCCAGUAACAAGCUCUAGGCCUAAAUUGCCGCAAGCCAACAAUGAAUGGUACGUUGAUAUAUGUAUGUUUUGAAACGAACCCCUUCAGUUGCCCAAUCAUCUGCAUUCCACAAACUGGUAUAUAUUCUCAUUCAUUGCUUGUUAGGAAAAGCUAUUCCUUGAUUAUCAUAGUUGCCCAAAACUCUGAUUGGGGUGCAAUUUGGCUGGCUGCAUUUCAGGCCUUUUUUUUUUUUGUCAUGAACCUGAGUACUUGCUAUAAUCUUACUCUUCGUUUUAAUAAUAUGAGAGAAUUGUUGUAUGAUUAUUCAUAGUUUAUCUUUAUUUGCGAUGAUUGCCUAAUACAAACUCUUGAACUUUAAGGACUAGGAAUUGUCUUAGCUUUUUUGUUGUAAGGACUAGGAAUAAGGAUAUAUUUAUGAUAUUGGCUUUCCAUUUUUUACUCUUUGAUGAUUUGUCAUUAUUCAAUUUUAGUAGUUAUAUAUGCUAAAACAAAAGUGGUUUCUGUGUUUCCACCGCUUAAAUACCAACAAUAUACCUGCUAGGAUGCUACAAUUAUUUUCCAUCCUCUUACACUUUCUAGCAUGAUCAUUGCGACAGAUUGGGGUUUGUUAUUGAUACAACUUCCUUUUUCCUUUUAGUUUGGCUCGUUAUUCAUUGGAACUUCAUUUUGUGUAGAUAUUGUGUAAUUCAUUUGGUACAACUUUUGGGGAAAAAAUUUCUUCUAUAAUAUAACAAGCUAAAGACAAGAUCAACCUCCCAAGAUUCUAGUUAAAAGGUGAAUUUUAGAAAUCUCCAUGAUUGAAAAUCAUUGUUAUCUGAUCAAGAUGAUUUUAGAGUGCAAAAAUCCUAUUUGAAAACUAAUAUAGCAAGCUAAACUCUUGUUUCUUCACAAAGAACUCUUGUAUCAUUACUUUUUAGAAACUAAUAUAAUAAGAAACUAGGAGACCUUUAAUUUCUGUCAAGCCAUAAAUGAUACAAGUUGUUCUUGUUUCAUUUUCCUAGUACCUUAAUAUUUCUUGGCUUCAUUAAUUGAAGUAGAUUGCACAUGAAAACUGUCUUCUUUCUGAUAUUUGUAGAUUUGAAAGUGUUUGCCUCCUUAGGAAGGAAACUUUUCGAUUCUUGUUUGGAUAACGUUUCUUCCAACCUUAUUGACAGUGAACUACUAAUGUAUUCUUAAGUUUCAUUCAUCUCGAUUAUUACUUAUGAUUACUUAUUAAAUAAUUUCCUUGUAGAUUACUUAUUUAUAUCCAGCUAAAUUUUCUAAAGAGUAAUGAUACAAGAGUUGUAAUUUGUAAAAAGUUCCAAUAUUGUAGACCAAGUGGAUGUUUAGGUGAUGAUGUUAUUCUACAUUUGUGCUCUGCUAUGUAGUUGUUUCUCUUAUCGACGCAUGUAGUGAUAGGUAAUGCUCAAUGUUGAAAUUUUCUAUAAGAGUUGUACUCUCUUGUCCUAUGAUGGAUGCUUAUAUUCAUGUUGUCUUUGUAGGUUCAACUGGAGUCGACAACUUCAUGAGUUUACUUUCAAAGAACAUUUUCAGAGACGAACAUUCUCGGUUGGUCAUUUAUGCUUUAGCAGAAAAUCUUGUUAUAUGUAUUAUGAUGCUAUUUAAAAUAUUUUUUGAUUAAGGGCUGAGAUUUCGUACUUGUAAAUUGUUGGAACUUGAUUGGAAAUGAACAAAUAUUAUAAACUGUAUUAAAGCGUAUACAUAUUAAAGUGUCGGUUAUUUUUUUCUAUAUGAGUGUCAAUAUUAUAAAUUCAAAAUUGUCAUUGU